rnacentral:rRNA from 1 species
UACGUAGGGUGCGAGCGUUAAUCGGAAUUACUGGGCGUAAAGCGUGCGCAGGCGGUUUUGUAAGACAGGCGUGAAAUCCCCGGGCUUAACCCGGGAACUGCGCUUGUGACUGCAAGGCUAGAGUGCGGCAGAGGGGGGUAGAAUUCCACGUGUAGCAGUGAAAUGCGUAGAGAUGUGGAGGAAUACCGAUGGCGAAGGCAGCCCCCUGGGUCGACACUGACGCUCAUGCACGAAAGCGUGGGGAGCAAACAGG